UUUUAUUACAUUUAAAUAAUAAAUUUAUGCAAAGCAAUACUCUUUUAAAGUCUAUAUAAUAGAAGUGAUGUUACUCUAAUAUAACAUUACAAAAUAUAAAAUAUAAGGUAAAAUUAAACAAAAAUGCAUUUUAACAACUAUCAAUCUUAUCUUUUAGGAGUUUCCUGCAUUGCUUUGGUUUUAGUCUCAGGAUUGGUUACUGGUCUGAAGACUCAAACAGUUGAGGUUAAUAAAGCAUCCUGCUUUCUAGGGGUCCCAGGUAAACUAUGUUGUUUUGAGGAUUGCUCUCCAAACUGCAGUCAAGACUGUAUUAAAAAUGGAUUUACAAAAGGUGGAAUAUGUAUUGAUAUAGCUCUUGGAGAAAAAUGUUGUUGUAAUAAGUAAUUAGACAAAUACUUAUGUGGUUUUUUGUUGUGUUCUUCAAAUAAGGAAUGAAUAACAUCUUUGAGUAAUUAAAGAACGCAAGUUUAACUAA